rnacentral:lncRNA from 1 species
AAACAAAGUUGAACAAAAAGAGCAAGCUAUAAAUGACUGUAAUAAAAAGCAUGAUAAAAUGUUUAUAGACACUGGAAAAAAAAGCCCAAAAUACUAGCAUGUAUUUUUUUUAGAGACUAGAGAAAUAAAUGGGGAUGAUAAAUCCCAAAUUCAGGACUGUGUUUCCUUCCACAGGAAGAUGAAAGAAAGAAGGCAAGAGGCUAUACAAAGUUCAUCAGAGAAGUACAUGUGAUGGGUUUUAUGAAAAGAGAAUUGAUUACCAUCAGAGGACUAUUGCCUGUCCAUUACCAAUGCUGGGCACUUAAAAAAUGAGGCACAGUCUGGAAAGGAGACACUGUGGGGAGUUAGUCUGCUCUCUUCAAGGAUUGUCUGUCUUGCAUUCCUCAAGGUGAGCAUCAUUGCCUAGAGGGGAGCAUAAUAAAUUGCUUCCUAGCUGUAAUGUUGUUUAAGGACAUAGUUUCUGAGUCUACUGGCUUCAACACUCUCUAACCUGGUUGGCAAGGAGAACUCAAAGGGGAUUCUAAUGGAGCUGUCUUUAUGCUGUAUAUAUCCUAACAUAUAAUGCUGAUGGUUCUACAAAAAGAAAAAGGGCAGAAAUAGAUUUGGUACACAGAGCUAAAUGUGUGCACCCAUGAAUUAUGUUUGUGUCCAUCUCCAAAGAAGUACUUGAAUAGCUUCUCUCACCUUUUUGUCACU